GACGUAGGAGGCGAGCGUUAUCCGGAUUCACUGGGCGUAAAGCGCGCGCAGGCGGUCCUUUAAGUCUGAUGUGAAAGCCCACGGCUCAACCGUGGAGGGUCAUUGGAAACUGGGGGACUUGAGUGCAGAAGAGGAAAGCGGAAUUCCACGUGUAGCGGUGAAAUGCGUAGAGAUGUGGAGGAACACCAGUGGCGAAGGCGGCUUUCUGGUCUGUAACUGACGCUGAGGCGCGAAAGCGUGGGGAGCAAACAGG
rnacentral:rRNA from 1 species